rnacentral:rRNA from 1 species
AGUAGCGGCGAGUGAACAGGCAAGAGCUCAGAUUUGAAAGCCUUUCGGGGCAUUGUAUUCUGAAGCCUUGGUCCUGGGAAACCGAUGUCUAAGUCUUCUGGAAAGGAGCGCCAUGGAGGGUGAUAGCCCCGUACGACAUUGACCCCACUGUAGGACCUUGGCAUGGAGUCGAGUUGUUUGGGAAUGCAGCUCAAAUGGGUGGUAUGCUCCAUCUAAAGCUAAAUAUCUGCGAGAGACCGAUAGCGAACAAGUACUGUGAAGGAAAGAUGAAAAGAACUUUGAAAAGAGAGUGAAAAAGUACGUGAAAUUGUUGAAAUGGAAGGGUAGGCCGCUAACCACGUAGAGUCGUGUUUGGGGGGAAGAUAAAAGCUGAAGAAUGUAACUCCUUGGAGUAUUAUAGCUUCAGUCCAUUUCCCACCCGAGCGCGAG